rnacentral:tRNA from 1746 species
GGAGUGGUAGUUCAGUUGGUUAGAAUACCGGCCUGUCACGCCGGGGGUCGCGGGUUCGAGUCCCGUCCACUCCGCCA